UAGAGUUACAGGGUGUAGUUACGGGUGUAGAGUUACGGGUGUAGAGUUACGGGUGUAGAGUUACAGGUGUAGAGUUACGGGUGUAGAUUUACGGGGUGUAGAGUUACAGGUGUAGAGUUACGGGUGUAGAGCGCGCUGCUUGCAGAUAGAAAUAGGAAGGAAAGAAAAAAACAUGGAAAGAAUGAAAAAGUUAAAUAGGAAAAAAGAGAGAAAGAAAUUAAGGAUAAUAUUAAAGAGAGUUUGGUCUCUGCUGUGUGUCUGUGUGUGUGUGUGUGUGUGUGUGUGUCUGUGUGUGUGUGUGUGUGUGUGUGUGUGUGUGUGUGUGUUCUGAGUCAGUGUCCAUGCUGUUCUAAUCAUCUGUUAUUGUCCCAGAUCCAGAAUAAGACUAAAA
ensembl:lncRNA